CUUCCCUUUUGUAUCCAUUGUAAAGCAUCAGCCUCUCCUGGAGGAUCCUGUUUUGGACUUUUCAUUUCCUUGUAGCCAUGAAGUCCAAAAUUAAUUAGAAAUGGAUUUUUGGUCAUUUUGAGGGAAAGGUCUGAUCCUUUUACAAGUGAAUUUACUUAUUGAUGCAACCUAUUUUUUUUACAUCAAGAAUAUCCUCUCCCAGAGAAGGUGGCACUUCUAGAUGAGUCAAUUAAAGAAGUAUAUAAGGAUCGCCUUGCAGCAGUGAAGAAUUAUAUAACACAUUUGAAAUGGAUCCAAUCAUCAUCUUUUCAUGAUUUUCUCCAGUUUACUUUGGCAUUACAAGGAGUGAAGGCAACAGAUAGUGGGAGAAAUCAAGGAUAAAAUCAGAUGGCAAGGGAUUCAAGAGAAGAGGUGGAGAGUUGAACUGGUUCACUAAGGAAGGCAGGGAGGAGAAUGUAGAAAGUGUAAGAGAUAUGGUUUGGGAUUUAACUAAAGGGUCCAGGAAUAAGAGAAAAUGAGGAUUAGGAUUUGAAGCUACAAUGUGGAGUGAAUGUUGGAGUGACAAUAAAUUUUUAUCAAAUAAUA